ACGUAGGUGACUAGCGUUGUCCGGAUUUACUGGGCGUAAAGAGCGCGCAGGCGGUCGUUCAAGUCGAGUGUGAAAGCCCCCGGCUCAACUGGGGAGGGUCAUUCGAUACUGAUCGACUCGAAGGCAGGAGAGGGAAGCGGAAUUCCCGGUGUAGUGGUGAAAUGCGUAGAUAUCGGGAGGAACACCAGUGGCGAAGGCGGCUUCCUGGCCUGUUCUUGACGCUGAGGCGCGAAAGCUAGGGGAGCAAACGGGAUUAGAUACCCCGGUAGUCCUAGCCGUAAACGAUGGACACUAGGUGUUGGUGGUAUCAACCCCACCAGUGCCGAAGCUAACGCAUUAAGUGUCCCGCCUGGGGAGUACGGCCGCAAGGCUA
rnacentral:rRNA from 1 species